rnacentral:rRNA from 1 species
UGGCCGGGCGACGGUUGUCCCGGUUUAAGCGUGUAGGUGUGUGUUCCAGGUAAAUCCGGUUCACUUUAACACUGAGGCGUGAUGACGAGGCACUACGGUGCUGAAGCAACAAAUGCCCUGCUUCCAGGAAAAGCCUCUAAGCAUCAGGUAACAUCAAAUCGUACCCCAAACCGACACAGGUGGUCAGGUAGAGAAUACCAAGGCGCUUGAGAGAACUCGGGUGAAGGAACUAGGCAAAAUGGUGCCGUAACUUCGGGAGAAGGCACGCUGACACGUAGGUGAAGUGAUUUACUCAUGGAGCUGAAGUCAGUCGAAGAUACCAGCUGGCUGCAACUGUUUAUUAAAAACACAGCACUGUGCAAACACGAAAGUGGACGUAUACGGUGUGACGCCUGCCCGGUGCCGGAAGGUUAAUUGAUGGGGUCAGCGCAAGCGAAGCUCCUGAUCGAAGCCCCGGUAAACGGCGGCCGUAACUAUAACGGUCCUAAGGUAGCGAAAUUCCUUGUCGGGUAAGUUCCGACCUGCACGAAUGGCGUAAUGAUGGCCAGGCUGUCUCCACCCGAGACUCAGUGAAAUUGAACUCGCUGUGAAGAUGCAGUGUACCCGCGGCAAGACGGAAAGACCCCGUGAACCUUUACUAUAGCUUGACACUGAACAUUGAGCCUUGAUGUGUAGGAUAGGUGGGAGGCUUUGAAGUGUGGACGCCAGUCUGCAUGGAGCCGGCCUUGAAAUACCACCCUUUAAUGUUUGAUGUUCUAACGUGGACCCGUGAUCCGGGUUGCGGACAGUGUCUGGUGGGUAGUUUGACUGGGGCGGUCUCCUCCUAAAGAGUAACGGAGGAGCACGAAGGUUGGCUAAUCCUGGUCGGACAUCAGGAGGUUAGUGCAAUGGCAUAAGCCAGCUUGACUGCGAGCGUGACGGCGCGAGCAGGUGCGAAAGCAGGUCAUAGUGAUCCGGUGGUUCUGAAUGGAAGGGCCAUCGCUCAACGGAUAAAAGGUACUCCGGGGAUAACAGGCUGAUACCGCCCAAGAGUUCAUAUCGACGGCGGUGUUUGGCACCUCGAUGUCGGCUCAUCACAUCCUGGGGCUGAAGUAGGUCCCAAGGGUAUGGCUGUUCGCCAUUUAAAGUGGUACGCGAGCUGGGUUUAGAACGUCGUGAGACAGUUCGGUCCCUAUCUGCCGUGGGCGCUGGAGAACUGAGGGGGGCUGCUCCUAGUACGAGAGGACCGGAGUGGACGCAUCACUGGUGUUCGGGUUGUCAUGCCAAUGGCACUGCCCGGUAGCUAAAUGCGGAAGAGAUAAGUGCUGAAAGCAUCUAAGCACGAAACUUGCCCCGAGAUGAGUUCUCCCUGAGACUUUAGGUCUCCUGAAGGAACGUUGAAGACGACGACGUUGAUAGGCCGGGUGUGUAAGCGCAGCGAUGCGUUGAGCUAACCGGUACUAAUGAACCGUGAGGCUUAACCUU